GACGAACGCUGGCGGUGCGCCUAACACAUGCAAGUCGAACGGUGAACCGGGCUUCGGCCCGGGGAUCAGUGGCGAACGGGUGCGUAACACGUGGGCAACCUGCCCCCGACCCUGGGAUAACCCCGGGAAACCGGAGCUAAUACCGGAUACUCUCCUCCGACCACAUGGUCAGAAGAGGAAAGGUCCGCCGGUCGGGGAUGGGCCCGCGGCCUAUCAGCUUGUUGGUGGGGUAACGGCCUACCAAGGCGACGACGGGUAGCUGGUCUGAGAGGACGACCAGCCACACUGGGACUGAGACACGGCCCAGACUCCUACGGGAGGCAGCAGUGGGGAAUCUUGCGCAAUGGGCGAAAGCCUGACGCAGCGACACCGCGUGGGGGAUGAAGGCCUUUCAGGUCGUAAACCCCUUUCGGCAGGGACGAAGCGAUCUCGUGACGGUACCUGCAGAAGAAGCCUCGGCUAACUACGUGC
rnacentral:rRNA from 1 species